rnacentral:rRNA from 1 species
UACGGAGGAUCCAAGCGUUAUCCGGAUUUAUUGAGUUUAAAGGGUGCGUAGGCGGCUUAUUAAGUCAGGGGUGAAAGACGGUGGCUCAACCAUCGCAGUGCCUUUGAUACUGAUGAGCUUGAAUACACUUGAGGUAGGCGGAAUGUGACAAGUAGCGGUGAAAUGCAUAGAUAUGUCACAGAACACCAAUUGCGAAGGCAGCUUACUAAGGUGCAAUUGACGCUGAGGCACGAAAGCGUGGGGAUCAAACAGG